rnacentral:misc_RNA from 1 species
GUGGCACAGGUGGGCGUGUUGACGGCGACUCGAACAAGACCAUGUCCACACAUGAGCAGUCAUGGAUUGGUGUGUCCUGCGGGCUCCUUGCCUCUCACAAUCAACCACCGAAGGGGCUAUCCUUCUUAGUCCUGUGCUCAUUCGUAUCUUUAGGCCAUCCUUUUUAGUCCAGUGCAUUGCGUGUGCCAUCUACCCGGCUCUGCAGGAAGUCAACGUACCCCAUGUGCCAGUUCGCCUCCCCACCUCGAGCGGGAGGCACAACCACAAUGUGGUCGUCAUGCGCACCUUAAUGACACAAUCCUUGGGCCCCAUGCUGGCUGGGCUCUUGAAGUAUCGCAAGCUCUCGCAAAUGCGGCAGGCUUCGGGGGCUUCGGCCCUCGGCCCAAACCUUGGUAGGUCAUUAAGAACCCUCGUCGAGACAAUGGUCGAUCCACCGAUGGGCCCCUUCCGCUCCCUGCGGGUAGUCAGGCGCCUUGACAACACCGACAUCG